GACGUAGGGCGCGAGCGUUGUCCGGAUUUAUUGGGCGUAAAGAGCUCGUAGGCGGCUCGUCGCGUCUGCCGUGAAAACCUGCAGCUUAACUGUGGGCUUGCGGUCGAUACGGGCAUCACUGGAGUUCGGCAGGGGAGACUGGAAUUCCUGGUGUAGCGGUGAAAUGCGCAGAUAUCAGGAGGAACACCGGUGGCGAAGGCGGGUCUCUGGGCCGAUACUGACGCUGAGGAGCGAAAGCCAGGGGAGCAAACGGG
rnacentral:rRNA from 1 species